UCGGAAAAUCAUUUAACAGCUGAUUAUAGGAAAGGCCAGGCGUGAAGUUGGGAAAUUGUGAACAAAUCCGGGCCAAAAAAUUGUGGAAAACGGAGAUACAUACUGAUUUAGAAACCUGUAUAUCUACUGUAAAGAGGGUAACAUCUGAUUUGUAACAAGAGGUGCAGGACAAAAUAUGGACUUUCUGAGCGUGGCUUUGUAUGUGUUGUCAUGGAUACUGUCCCUCAUAUUUCUGAGAGCAGGCUUGGUCAAAGUAACUAGUCGUUUAUUUUCAAAGGACCAUAAAGAAACGAGACAAGAGUUUGCACAAUAUGCUACUGUGUGCCCCACUAUGUUAUUCGGAAUCACACCUUCACCAGAUGGAUACAUGCUUUUGGUCGGAGUCAUCGAGACGCUUUCCUCUAUCCUGCUUUUGGUGCCUGAUACCGAUUUGCAUACUUGGAUGUAUUUAAUAUUCUGUGUCAUGUUGGCGCUUUCAAUUUACACACAUGAUGUUUUAGAACAAUACUUCAAAAUGGUCUAUGAUAUAUGUCUUUUCCUAGCAUUUAUAGUGUUAUAUAAAGUUGGACCUAUAGCUUUAACAAACCAGGAAAACGAUCUCGAAUAAACUAUAAUACUUGUGUGACUGCAACUCUGAAAUUUUAAGUAACAAUUGAUUACAAAGCGUUGUAAACGAACACUUUAAAAAUCAAUAAAGAAAACUUGUUCGAUUUAAACAUUAUGAUUCUACAUUAAUGUGCUGUUUUGAUUUCGUUCAUAAUACACAUGUCAAUUAAUGUUGCCCCAUUUGCACUUAGUAAA